rnacentral:rRNA from 1 species
AGUGAACGCUGGCGGUAGGCCUAACACAUGCAAGUCGAACGGCAGCACAGUAAGAGCUUGCUCUUACGGGUGGCGAGUGGCGGACGGGUGAGGAAUACAUCGGAAUCUACUUUUUCGUGGGGGAUAACGUAGGGAAACUUACGCUAAUACCGCAUCCGACCUACGGGUGAAAGCAGGGGAUCUUCGGACCUUGCGCGAUUGAAUGAGCCGAUGUCGGAUUAGCUAGUUGGCGGGGUAUAGGCCCACCAAGGCGGCGAUCCGUAGCUGGUCUCAGAGGAUGAUCAGCCACACUGGAACGGAGACACGGUCCAGACUCCUACGGGAGGCCGCAGUGGGGAAUAUUGGACAAUGGGCGCGAGCCUGAUCCAGCCAUACCGCGUGGGUGAAGAAGGCCUUCGGGUUGGAAAGCCCUUUUGUUGGGAAAGAAAAGCAGCAGGUUAAUACCCCGCUGUUCUGACGGUACCCAAAGAAUAAGCACCGGCUAACUUCGUG